rnacentral:rRNA from 1 species
CCUACUGGAGGCAGCAGUGGGGGAUAUUGCACAAUGGGGGGAACCCUGAUGCAGCGACGCCGCGUGAGUGAAGAAGUCUUUCGGUACGUAAAGCUCUAUCAGCAGGGAAGAAAAUGACGGUACCUGACUAAGAAGCCCCGGAUAACUACGGGCCAGCAGCCGCGGUAAUACGUAGGGGGAAAGCGUUAUCCGGAUUUACUGGGUGUAAAGGGAGCGGAGACGGCAGCGCAAAGCUGAAGUGAAAUCCCAUGGCUUAACCAUGGAACUGCGUUGGAAACUGUGCAGCUGGAGUGCAGGAGAGGUAAGCGGAAUUCCUAGUGUAGCGGUGAAAUGCGUAGAUAUUAGGAGGAACACCAGUGGCGAAGGCGGCUUACUGGACUGUAACUGACGUUGAGGCUCGAAAGCGUGGGGAGCAAACAGGAUUAGAUACCCUUGUAGUC